AGACGGAGGGGGCUAGCGUUAUUCGGAAUUACCGGGCGUAAAGGGCGCGUAGGCGGAUUAGUAAGUUGGGAGUGAAAGCCCGGGGCUUAACCUCGGAACUGCUUUCAAAACUGCUAGUCUUGAGUGAAGUAGGGGGUGAUGGAAUUCCUAGUGUAGAGGUGAAAUUCUUAGAUAUUAGGAGGAACACCGGUGGCGAAGGCGGUCACCUGGACUUCAACUGACGCUGAGGCGCGAAAGCGUGGGGAGCAAACAGGAUUAGAAACCCUAGUAGUCC
rnacentral:rRNA from 1 species